rnacentral:lncRNA from 1 species
UGCGUCUCCAGCCCCCAUAACCACUACCCGAGAAGGGAGUGGGAACAAGUGAUACCCCAGGGACAUCAGACGAGUACACAAAAAGGGGACUAGAGGAGUCUACAGUUGGGGAGGCACCACUGUUUGUGCUAGAAGCCAUAGUUAAUGAACUGGCUUAAAUGAAUAACUUUUCAACAAACCGAAUACUACCAAAACAAGUAUUCAAACACAACAACCAACAAACGGACUACAGUCAGGUCAACUAUUCACAAACAACACCAGACGCUCACAAGAACAGAGUCAAAUAAUC